GACGAACGCUGGCGGCGUGCCUAAUACAUGCAAGUCGAGCGGGCUUAUUCGAGUAGCUUGCUAUUUGGAUAAGUCAGCGGCGGACGGGUGAGUAACACGUGGGUAAUCUGCCUCGUAGUCUGGGAUAACAAGCCGAAAGGUUUGCUAAUACCGGAUGAGUUCAUGUUAUUGCAUAGUGACAUGAAGAAAGGGGAGACCCGCUAUGAGAUGAGCCCGCGUCCCAUUAGCUAGUUGGUGGGGUAAAGGCCUACCAAGGCGACGAUGGGUAGCCGGCCUGAGAGGGUGGACGGCCACACUGGGACUGAGACACGGCCCAGACUCCUACGGGGGGCAGCAGUAGGGAAUCUUCGGCAAUGGGCGGAAGCCUGACCGAGCGACGCCGCGUGAGGGACGAAGGCCUUCGGGUUGUAAACCUCUGUCUGGGGGACGAGUAAGGACGGUACCCCGGGACGGAACCGGCCCGGACUAACUACGUCGCCGACGCACGCCGACGGUAAGUAGUACUACUACU
rnacentral:rRNA from 1 species